rnacentral:rRNA from 1 species
AACGAACGCUGGCGGCAUGCCUAACACAUGCAAGUCGAACGAGACCUUCGGGUCUAGUGGCGCACGGGUGCGUAACGCGUGGGAAUCUGCCCUGGGGUACGGAAUAACAGUGAGAAAUUACUGCUAAUACCGUAUGAUGACGUAAGUCCAAAGAUUUAUCGCCCUGGGAUGAGCCCGCGUAGGAUUAGCUUGUUGGUGAGGUAAAAGCUCACCAAGGCGACGAUCCUUAGCUGGUCUGAGAGGAUGAUCAGCCACACUGGGACUGAGACACGGCCCAGACUCCUACGGGAGGCAGCAGUGGGGAAUAUUGGACAAUGGGCGAAAGCCUGAUCCAGCAAUGCCGCGUGAGUGAUGAAGGCCUUAGGUGUAAACUUCUUUUGGAUGGGAACAAUAACUCCGACUUGUCGGAACUUGAGGGUACCAUCAGAAUAAGCACCGGCUAACUCCGUGCCAGCAGCCGCGGUAAUGUCUGUACU